rnacentral:rRNA from 1 species
AACGUAGGUGGCAAGCGUUAUCCGGAUUUACUGGGCGUAAAGGGUGUGCAGGCGGGGUUGCAAGUGGGGUGUGAAAUCUCCCGGCUUAACCGGGAGGGGUUAUGGCAGACUGCAAUUCUAGAGGACGAGAGAGGGGGGUGGAAUUCCGGGUGUAGUGGUGAAAUGCGUAGAGAUCCGGAGGAACCCCAGAGGCGAAGGCGGCCCCCUGGCUCGUACCUGACGCUCAGCCACGAAAGCAUGGGGAGCGAACGGG